CGUUUAAGAAAUGUAUCUAAAGCGCUGCUUCAUUAAUUCUAAAGCAUUUAAAAAAUGCUUUAAAGAUGGGCUGCUAAGAUCGUCUCAAGACUGGGAUCAUCAUCAGAAGAUCUAAAAAACAAAUAAAGAAGGUGUAAAAAAACAGGUAAAGCAGGCGUUUAAAAAACAUUUCUGUUUCUUAAGCAUAUCUUUUGUUUUUUGUUUUCUUUUGUUUGUCCCGGGGAAGG
rnacentral:misc_RNA from 1 species